AGGAGAAUCGCUUGAACCCGGGAAGUGGAGUUUGGAGUGAGCCAAGAUUGUGCCAUUGCACUCCAGCCUAUGCAACAAGAGCAAACUCUGUCAAAAACAAAAACACACACAACAGAUACACUCAGAGAUUGUGCCCUCAAGUCAUAUACUGCACAUGACAAGUACAAAUACCGGAGCUAAAUCCUAAUACUCUCCCCAUUCUAUUUGAGUUUGUUUAUUGAGGCUUCAAGGCACUCAAUAAAUGUUUGCUGAAUGAAUGAAAGAAAGCCAGAAUUCUCAUUUGAUUUCAUAUUAGAGGAAUUGGCCCUAAAACUAUUUAAGAGGCAGACUUGAACUUAUACACAGGUCCCACAACUUAAGCCAUGUCAAAGGACAACAUUAUAACAAAUUUAGCUUAAAGAUCUCAGUUGGCAUUAUUUUCGAUUCUAGAAUCAGGCAACACUUCAUUCCGUAAAAUAGAAUAAAUGUUCCAUGAGCUCAGCAGAAGAUGUUGCCUUUUUUUUUUGAGAUGGAGUCUUACUCUGUCACCCAGGCCAGAGUGCAGUGGCGUGAUCUCGGUUCACUGCAACCUCUGUCUCCUGGGUUCAAGCGAAGUUCAGGCGACUCUCCUGCCUCAGCCUCCUAAGUAGCUGGAAUUAUAGGUGUGUGCCACCAUGU
rnacentral:lncRNA from 1 species